CUAAGGUGUUUGAGUUAACCUAAUGGGGAGGAGAAGCUGUUUUAAAAACAUGCUAAUCAGAAAACCUGGACUCUAAUCUGCUUCCUGCAAGAACAGCUCUCUGGAGAAGAAUGAGAAUCACAGAAAACAAACCAGAAGCUUUUCUUCCUGUGGCAACAGGAAGUGACCUGUGAAAGUCAUCUUCCUGCCAAGGCUUCGGUGUGGGGAGGCAGCAUCGAAGAGUUACAAAAGCACAACUUGGACUCAAAAGAGACCUGGAGUUGAGCCCCAGCUCUGCCACAUCCCUGUUGUUUGAUGUUGGAUAAGUCGUUUACCCUCUCUGGCUUCAGUUUCCUCACCUGUAAAAUAAGGAUAAUAUAGUUCUACUUCAUGACAUUCCUGAGAAGUGUAUAUGUGAAAGCAAAGGAAUAAGGUGCUUAGUGCAACAGCUGACACACAGAAGAACUUUGCAGAACACACUAGCUUUGAUGUCAGGAAAGUUUUUUGGGGAUGGUACUUGCUGAGCCCCCAAACUGUCCGAGACGAAAGGCCAGGUGCUCAAGGAGUCCAGUCUCCAACCUAGGGGAGGAAUGACUGCCUUCUUGGAGGGAACCCUUAUCUCAUUAGAUCUUGCUAAGACAGCAGCCAGCAAACCUGUUUUGCAAAAGACAAGAGAGUAAAUACCUUAGGUGUUUUUGAGCCCUAUAUUUCCUAUUGCAGCUACUCAGCCUUGCCAUUGGAGCAAAAACAGCCAUAGACAAUACUUAUGCAUUGCUGUGGUCCAAUAAAGCUGUAUUUACCCAAACAGGAGGCAAACUGAAUUUGGCUCAUGGGCCGUAGUCUGCUGUCCACUGCUCUAGGAGAACGUAAUUCAAAAGCAGUCAAAGUCUUGCACAA